CGGCCCGGGAGGGAGGGCAGCGCCGGCGGCGGCCCCGGGUAAGAGCAGGGCGGAACGGGGAUGAGAAACUGUUACCUGAGGCAGCGGCAGAAGGUACGACUUGAAGCUCUCGCGUUCUGUAACAGAAAGUUGUGCAAAUUGCAGAUGUCAGGAGCUGACUGCCAUGGACUAGAGAAGGGCCGACGUUUGCAUUCAAGGUUCCUAUUUGCCUCCUACGGUGUAUGAACUUUACAAGCACUUGUUGAAAAUGGAUUAAGUGGCUGCCAUGUCAUUAUUGAAAAGAAAGUGUUCAUUAGCAGCACAGCAUCACAUAUACCUAAGGAAGAGGUCAAUAGCUGUUAACCUGAUAUAAAAAUUGUCCCAUGCUUCCUCUGCAAAUACAUCGGACCAUAAACGUGAAGGAAAUUAAUACUUGUCAUUGGAAUAGCUACUCCUUUCUGCUAUCAUGUGCAAAAAGCUCUAUUCAGAGAAGAUUCACUGCAUACUCAGCCCCCUGUCACGCUCAUCCUGGUCUCCUUCACGCUUCUUGCAGCGACAGCAGACUCGCUUGAUGAUUAUGUAGAGGUGGCUGAAGAUAAUCAUUGGUGGUGGGAGGACAGGUCUGUCAUGGAAUGUCAUGAUCAGCUGGUACCGCUGGAACUUCCAGACUUGGUUGGAUAUUGAUUUUACUUCAAAGAAGGUAUUGCUGAAAGAGGACAGGUGUAAUUUCCAUUAGGCCUCCAAGUUUACUUAACAUUUAACAAGAACUACAUUGAAAAAAGAAGAAAGUAAAUAGCAAAAUGAUGCCACACAACUUGCUUGGUUCAGCUCUUUGUCAAGGCAGCUGAACUUGCUGAAGAUUAAGCUAAACUCAUUAUUUUACUGCUCCUUUUGAAGGCAGCACAGCAGGUGCUCCGCAUCCCUUAUGCACCACCCAAAAGAGUCCUCUUCGUUUUCUUCUACCAUAUAAAGCAUUUUAGCUGUCAGUUAAGACAAACGUGCACAAUUUAUAGUCAGAUAACUAGUAUUUUGGAGCUUGGUUAUAAAGUACUUCUAUUAAUAUAUACUCACAUUUGAUAUCACACAAAGUAUUAAAUCCAUGAAAGAUAUUUUCCACUCUAAACCCAGAAGAGUCACAUCUUUUUCUUUUAACAUGUUAAUCUGCUUGACCUAUACAAAACACUUCUCAAGUUUUUAAACAAAAUGCCCUAAAUUUAAACUUUGUUCAUUUAGACUUCUAAUUUGAAAAUACUGCAUAUUCUUUUAAAAGGAGUUGUUUGUGGGAGUUACAGUUUCAUCAUUUCUACAUCAGAAUGAGUUUUACUAUAAAGACAACCAAUUAGCAAUUCAGUGAAGGAAUAGAGAACUGCAUCCAAUCCAGAGACAACAAUAUUCAACGUUACAAAAUGCAAACUAAGAAAAUUUGGAAGUUCUGUCUUAGAUGAUGUUUUUCAAGCUAUUUUAAAACAUGCUAGGACAGUUCUCUUCUAUGAUGAUUCUGACACUUCCUCUUCUUAUCUUUUCUAUUUCUUUUCUAACUUUCUGUGCUUUGGAAUAUUCACAAAACCAGACAUGACACUUCUUCAAAAAUGGAGAAUUCUUGAUUGCACAAAGCACUCCAUUUCUUUUGGCUAAGAAUAUGAGAUUACUUACACUGAUAAAUGACAAUCUGACUUCAUUCUGUGUCUCCUGCACAGCAAGAAUUCCCCAGCUACAACUCGCCCCCCUGCAACCGUGCUAGGAUAGCAGGAGUUAACAGUAUGACCUACUUCUCAAACUGCUGAUUCCUUCCUCUCUUCAGCCAAUAAUAGUUACCACUGUAAGAUGCUUCCCCUUCCCCCUAGCAAUGUGACUGGCAUUUGGGUACUUUAAAAUUCAUGACCUUUUAAGCUAAAUACAUCAAAUGAAAGACAGGCUUUGUGAGCUGUAGCUUUCUGGGCACAAAAUGAACUAUUUUUGUGGUUGUGAUGCCCAUUACCUAUGCCAGCAAACCCUGCAACGCUGCAUAUUUAUGGGAAUCAAAAUGGAAUCACCUGCUUUUCUCAAUAGGUGUUUUGGGAAAAUUUUACUAGCAAAGAGAUGUAUUAAUUGUUUCUAUUUGUAUUUUCCAGUUCUUAGGUCAUUAUAGGAAAUGCAUGAGACAUAACUGUUGCAUAUAACUGUUGGCAGAAAGUACAAGCAGUAGAAAUGCAUUUAGGUUUACUCCAGAAAAUUCUAAGCAUGGAUUUAUGGAAUGAUGUUAUGAAUUUGCACAGUUGCACGUUGGUUGCACUGCCAUAAAUGCAGCCACAGAUUUUGGUAAAAUGUACCUAUCUUUUCUCUUGGUUCCAGGUAAUAUACACUCCUUUUCUGGGAGAUAUAGGAACUCUGCAAGGCUUUCAUUUCUUUUUCUCUAAAUUAGAAGCAAAGUAAGAAGAAAAAAAAGGAAAAGAAGCAGAUGAUGCAUGGAUGCAGCGGAAAUGUCUCUUAUUUUUUAUGUUCAGAUUUUCAUUCUGCAGAUCUACGGUAGAAUCAUGUUUGCCAGUGGUUGCAAGAGUUCUAUCACAUAUAUAGGUUUAGUGGAUUCAGUUUCAUCUUUACAAAACAAUCUUGAAGCCUGUCAGUAACCAUUAGACCCUAAUUGUAAGUACUCAUUCUCUCAUACACAUCACUGCAAAUCUGUACCAAAUUUUCUUCUGCUCUUUCAGAGUGUAUAGACCAUUCCAAAUAUUUACUAGUCAUGUUCAUAGAGAAAUUUUGAGGUUGUGAAUGCAAGGCAUUGCAAAAUUAGUUGACGGACUCUCAUCGAAACUUUAUCUUGACAAUAAGAAAUUAGUGCAUGAUUUACAUACUUGAAGACUGCAAUCAGCAGGUUUACCAGCAGAAUAUUUGCUACCAAGAGGUAACAAGCCAUAAUAGCGGGAGUGAGCCAGGCCCCUGGUAUGCACGGAGGGAGACGUUUACCAUCCUCAUCGUAAAGAUUGUCUCCACAAGGAGCUGAAGAAAAGAGAGGAAAGGUAUUUACAUUUCCUGACACUUGAGAACAGACUCACUUACUGAUGACGCACAUGUAAAGUCUACCAAACCAAAUAAAUUUUGUCAGUUUAUUUCCACUGGAGAGUAUGUAUAAUUUCUAGUCCAAAUUCUGCUUCUAACAACACCAUGCAAAAAUUAUUUCACAUAAUAGUGAAUGGUUACAUGGCUUGAGAUCUAGUGCACAAUGUAUCUUCCUCUUCAAAUUGACAAGGCUUUUUUUUUCCACAGUGACAUUACAGGACAAGAUCUUGAUGUGCACAUGUAUAAUUUCAUACCAGCAUUUUAAAAACAUCUCCGACUAAACUUGCAUGCAUAUCUUUUCAAAUGCAUAAAUGGAUUUAUUUUGUGGUUCAAGAUUGCUGAAUGUGUAUCAGGCCUUCAUCAGAGCUCUGAGUGUUUAAGUAGGCCCUAACUACCCUAAACUGCUUCUCUGAGGUCUACACCUACACUCCCCACACAUAUCUGUCCUUGCCCAAGCUGCAUCAGAUGUGCAGGCAUCAGAUUUUUCUCAUGGAUGGACUUUGGACCUAUACUUGUCUCCUGGAUAAAUCCUUUUGUUUCAACCCUGUCUUCUCUCACUGCAACCUGAACUCCCUACCUAGGCCCUGGAUUAUUACUUGCCUCAUCUUUUUAGCAAUUAGCAGCAGCCAUCUCUGAGAGACCAGGUCGCCCUGGGUCUGGCAUUGCUCACCCUGGGUCCCUGCUCUUUCUUACCUUAGGGCCAGCCCUGCUCCUGUUGCUUCCUGGCAGAUCUAAGCUGCAAAUCUGCCCUGAAUACCGAGUACUGCUACACAGACAGAAAUUGUUUAUGAUUAAAAAAACCUUUAUUUUUUCACUUGAAAAAAGUCGUGAAGUUGUAUGCAGUUAUUAACUUGUUCUCGAGUAGAAAACCUCAGUUUCUCAUCUUUUUAUGCCCACUUUCUUUAUUAUUCACAAUGAUAAUUUUAUCUUAAGGAGAGUAUAAAAGGGAAAUCAAAUGAAUCAUAAUAUUACUCAUGUGGACCAAUGAAAGUAAUACUAAAAAGCCACCAAUACAAUACCUGGAUAACCGGAAGGAAUUAUUUAUAACAUGACAAUCAUGCAUGAUAAUUUUUAAAAAUGAUUACCUUACUGGCAAUCCACUAGAAACAAAUCAUAGCAAUCACAUAAGCUUGACUAAAACUUUUGAUGUGCAACAUAUAUUACGACAGUUUUCCCCUUCUUUUCAGAUAAAUCUAUUUUGGUAGCAAAACAACUCACACAUGAACAUCAGAUGAACCCUAUAAUUAAAAUGUCUAGUGAAGAUCUAGCAUCUAGUGAAAAGAUUAAUGAACACAUUCAGCUAAAUGAGAUAAUCAACUCCCCAGAUAGACUUACGAUUGAUUUCCAUGGCAUAGACUGAAUUGCAGCAUUCCAAUGGAAGAAAUGAAAAAGGAAGCAAGGAGAGAAAGAAAACAAUAGAAUAAUAUAGGGGGGAAAAAAAAAAGAAAAAAAAAACAACAAAGAAGAUGAUUGAAAAUAUAGUUUUGCUGCCAAGAAACUAUAAAAAACUCAAAUGUCAAAA